UCCCUAUGGGGUGCAGCAGUCGCGAAAACUCCGCAAUGCACGAAAGUGUGACGGGGCUACCCCGAGUGCCGUCCGCUGAGGAUGGCUUUUCCUCGGUGUAACUAGCCGGGGGAAUAAGGAGAGGGCAAGACUGGUGUCAGCCGCCGCGGUAAUACCAGCUCUCCGAGUUGUAGGGACGAUUAUUGGGCUUAAAGCGUCCGUAGCCGGCUUAGCAAGUCUCCUGUUAAAUUCAGCGACCUAAUCGUUGAGCCGCGGGAGAUACUACUAGGCUAGGAGGCGGGAGAGGUCGACGGUACUUUCGGGGUAGGGGUGAAAUCCUAUAAUCCCGGGAGGACCACCAGUGGCGAAGGCUGUCGACUAGAACGCGCUCGACGGUGAGGGACGAAAGCUGGGGGAGCGAACCGGAUUAGAUACCCGGGUAGUCCCAGCUGUAAACGAUGCGGGCUAGGUGUUGGGGUGGCUACGUGCCACUUCAGUGCCGCAGGGAAGCCAUUAAGCCCGCCGCCUGGGGAGUACGGCCGCAAGGCUGAAACUUAAAGGAAUUGGCGGGGGAGCACCACAAGGCGUGAAGCUUGCGGUUCAAUUGGAUUCAACGCCGGAA
rnacentral:rRNA from 1 species